rnacentral:siRNA from 1 species
UAAUAGUUGAUGAACGAAUUCAG